AUUGAACGCUGGCGGCAGGCCUAACACAUGCAAGUCGAGCGGAUGAAGGGAGCUUGCUCCUGGAUUCAGCGGCGGACGGGUGAGUAAUGCCUAGGAAUCUGCCUGGUAGUGGGGGAUAACGUCCGGAAACGGGCGCUAAUACCGCAUACGUCCUGAGGGAGAAAGUGGGGGAUCUUCGGACCUCACGCUAUCAGAUGAGCCUAGGUCGGAUUAGCUGGUUGGUGGGGUAAAGGCCUACCAAGGCGACGAUCCGUAACUGGUCUGAGAGGAUGAUCAGUCACACUGGAACUGAGACACGGUCCAGACUCCUACGGGAGGCAGCAGUGGGGAAUAUUGGACAAAGGGCGAAAGCCUGAUCCAGCCAUGCCGCGUGUGUGAAGAAGGUCUUCGGAUUGUAAAGCACUUUAAGUUGGGAGGAAGGGCAGUAAGUUAAUACCUUGCUGUUUUGACGUUACCAACAGAAUAAGCACCGGCUAACUUCGUG
rnacentral:rRNA from 1 species